rnacentral:rRNA from 1 species
AACGAACGCUGGCGGCAUGCCUAACACAUGCAAGUCGAACGAGAACUUCGGGUCUGGUGCCGCACGGGUGCGUAAGGCGUGGUAACCUGCCCUUAGGUUCGGAAUGACUGGCCGUAAGGGGUCCUAAUAUCUGCUAAUAUCGUAUGACCACAGAUUUAGCGACCUUGGGUGGGCCCGCCUGGGAUUAGCCUGGUGGCAUGGUAACAGCCUACGAAGGCGACGAUCCAUAGCUGGGUUGAGAGGAUGGGCAGCCACACUGGGUCUGAGACACGGCCGAGAAUCUUACGGGAGGCAGCAGAGGGGAAUAUAGGAAAAUGGGCGAAAGGCUGAUCCAGCAAUGGCGGGUGAGUGAUGAAGGCAUGAGGGUUGUAAAGCUCGCUUACACGGGAUGAUAAUGACGGUACCGGGAGAAUAAGCUCCGGCUAACUACGUG